AAAUUGAAGAGUUUGAUCAUGGCUCAGAUUGAACGCUGGCGGCAGGCCUAACACAUGCAAGUCGAGCGGAAACGAGUUAUCAGAACCUUCGGGGAACGAUAACGGCGUCGAGCGGCGGACGGGUGAGUAAUGCCUAGGAAAUUGCCCUGAUGUGGGGGAUAACCAUUGGAAACGAUGGCUAAUACCGCAUGAUGCC
rnacentral:rRNA from 1 species